rnacentral:rRNA from 1 species
AUUGAACGCUGGCGGCAUGUCUUACACAUGCAAGUCGAACGGUAACAGGUCUUCGGAUGCUGACGAGUGGCGAACGGGUGAGUAAUGCAUCGGAACGUGCCCAGUAGUGGGGGAUAGCACGGCGAAAGCCGGAUUAAUACCGCAUACGACCUGAGGGUGAAAGGGGGGGAUCGCAAGAACUCUCGCUAUCGGAGCGGCCGAGGUCAGAUUAGCUAGUUGGUGGGGUAAAGGCCUACCAAGGCAACGAACUGUAGUUGGACUGAGAGGACGACCAGCCACACUGGGAGAGAGACACGGCCCAGACUCCGACGGGAGGCAGCAGUGGGGAAUUGUGGACAAUGGGCGCAAGCAUGAUCCAGCAAUGCCGCGUGCAGGAAGAAGGCCUUCGGGUUGUAAACUGCUUUUGUCAGGGAAGAAAUCUUCUGGGUUAAUACCUCGGGAGGAUGACGGUACCUGAAGAAUAAGCACCGGCUAACUACGUGCCAGCAGCCGCCGUAACAC